rnacentral:misc_RNA from 1 species
AAGUCGUAACAAGGUUUCCGUAGGUGAACCUGCGGAAGGAUCAUUACUGAGUUGCCGGUCUUCGGAUCGGAUAACCCGACCUCAUGUCAUCUGAAGUCGAAUGCUUGGGCCCUCUUCACGGAGGGCCCUCGCGGACGACAAAUCAUAACUUCGGCGGAAGUGGUAGGCUCGACCUGCCCGCCGCCGGCCGUAUUCCAAACUCUUGUGAGAAUCUGAAGUCUGAUAAAACAAAAAACGAAAAGCAAAACUUUCAACAACGGAUCUCUUGGCUCUG